UGGAUACUCCCUUCGUCCGAAAAAGCUUGUCCCAAGCUUGUUCCUCAAAUGGGUGUAUCUAACACUAACUCGGUGUUAGAUACAUUCAUUUGAGGGACAAGUUUUUUUGAACGGAGGGAAGUAGAAA
rnacentral:pre_miRNA from 1 species